rnacentral:rRNA from 1 species
AUACGUAGGGUGCGAGCGUUGUCCGGAAUUACUGGGCGUAAAGAGCUCGUAGGUGGUUUGUCGCGUCGUCUGUGAAAUUCCGGGGCUUAACUCCGGGCGUGCAGGCGAUACGGGCAUAACUUGAGUACUGUAGGGGAGACUGGAAUUCCUGGUGUAGCGGUGAAAUGCGCAGAUAUCAGGAGGAACACCGGUGGUGAAGGCGGGGCUCUGGGCAGUAACGGACGCUGAGGAGCGAAAGCAUGGGUAGCGAACAGGAUUAGAUACCCUGGUAGUCCAUGCCGUAAACGGUGGGCGCUAGGUGUAGGGGUCUUCCACGACUUCUGUGCCGUAGCUAACGCAUUAAGCGCCCCGCCUGGGGAGUACGGCCGCAAGGCUAAAACUCAAAUGAAUUGACGGGG